rnacentral:rRNA from 1 species
CCUGCCCCCUCCCCCGGGAUAGCCGCCCGAAAGGACGGGUAAUACCGGAUACCCCCGGGCGCCGCAUGGCGCCCGGGCUAAAGCCCCGACGGGAGGGGAUGGCUCCGCGGCCCAUCGGGUAGACGGCGGGGUGACGGCCCACCGUGCCGACAACGGGUAGCCGGGUUGAGAGACCGACCGGCCAGAUUGGGACUGAGACACGGCCCAGACUCCUACGGGAGGCAGCAGUGGGGAAUCUUGCGCAAUGGGGGGAACCCUGACGCAGCGACGCCGCGUGCGGGACGGAGGCCUUCGGGUCGUAAACCGCUUUCAGCAGGGAAGAGUCAAGACUGUACCUGCAGAAGAAGCCCCGGCUAACUACGUGCCAGCAGCCGCGGUAAUACGUAGGGGGCGAGCGUUAUCCGGAUUCAUUGGGCGUAAAGCGCGCGUAGGCGGCCCGGCAGGCCGGGGGUCGAAGCGGGGGGCUCAACCCCCCGAAGCCCCCGGAACCUCCGCGGCUUGGGUCCGGUAGGGGAGGGUGGAACACCCGGUGUAGCGGUGGAAUGCGCAGAUAUCGGGUGGAACACCGGUGGCGAAGGCGGCCCUCUGGGCCGAGACCGACGCUGAGGCGCGAAAGCUGGGGGAGCGAACAGGAUUAGAUACCCUGGUAGUCCCAGCCGUAAACGAUGGACGCUAGGUGUGGGGGGACGAUCCCCCCGUGCCGCAG